rnacentral:ncRNA from 17 species
AAAGUUUAUAAAUUUGUUGGUUAUCAUAUAAACAAUAUGAGAUUAAAUUGGAAUCAGGUGGAAAACCUGAGCUGUCCCGCAGCCGUAAGAGGGAGUUAAUGCAAGCAUGUCACUGGGAAACUGGGAAGACGCAAAGACGUAGAACUUGAGCCGGAAUACAAGCCAACAUCUAAGAAUACACU